UGGCAUGUAGCUCAGCGGCAGAGCCGGCGACUGUUAAUCGCCUCGUCGGUGGUUCGAUCCCACCCAUGCCAGCCA
rnacentral:tRNA from 1 species